rnacentral:pre_miRNA from 1 species
UAUAAGAUCAUUUUCAGUUUUUUAUAUAAUGUUUUGACUCGUUGGCUUAUUUGAAAUGUUUUUACGAUUAAUAUUUUUAUUCUUACUAGAUGAUAAAACAUGAAUAGUAUUUUAUAUGUGACUAAUUUUUUUAAAUUUUUAUAUAAAUUUUUUAAAUAAAAUAAAUGGUUAAACGUUGGGCACGAAAAA